rnacentral:lncRNA from 1 species
CAGAAAGAUUUUCUAACAUUGGAUAGAUCAUUACGGAUGAGAUGUGACUAUCAAUCAACUGGAUUUGUUGUUCCUAAAAAAAAUCUGAACCUAUUAUUCAAGAGAUUUUGGAAACAAGAGCCUCGUGUUUCUAGUGGACAGACCUCAUAAGAAUUACUGGAGGAUUGGUCAUAUCUUCUACUAUCGCUUAGGACCGUGCAGGAGCAUUUUAGGAGCUAGCGAUGAAGACUGCCUUGAAGAUUCAGUCAUUCAGAAAGUUGAGAUAACCUACGUUCACUCAGAAGAAAUGUAUAGCUCAUAUACUCAACUGGCACACAGCAUGUAUGCAGACGCUGUGAGGAAGACAUUCACGCCUUUGCCUAAUUAAUGCGCAGCUUUGCCGGACUUCUGUCCAAUCCCUGACAAGGCCGACAGUGAUAAAGGACCAUUAAAGUCUAAUGAGCUUGGAAAAAUUGGAAAUCCCAGUCUCCUGUAGAAUGUUAAAGCUGAUCUACACGUGUGGGAGAGAAAAGGUCUUAGGACAUUCAUUCUCUUCAUUAAAA